rnacentral:rRNA from 1 species
ACGGCCAUGGUGUAAGUCUGUAAUAUCCCACCCUCCGCCGUCACUAGGGAGCUUCUAGCCUUCAAUUCCACCGUUGCCGCUGCUGGCAAAGCGUACGCCUGCGAGGUCGGCGCGGCCCAACGCGGCUAGCUAAGUCGAGGCAAUGGUGCCGUUCAGUUCGAUUCCAAUGCCACUGCAACCCUCGCUGCCGAACUCGCACCCCGUUUCCUUGGCUCCCUCCUCUCCGUCUCCCCUGCCCCGGAGAACCGUCUUCCCCGCGCGCCCGACGUAUCUCACUGUGCAGCCAAUGCACACCUCCUUGUAGGCAACUGCGACGCUGAGCGCAAAUUCGAGGUGGCUAAUUCUUGUGACAACGUCCGCGUAGAGAUCAUCCCGUGGAAGCGGCUCAUAGAACUGUACCUGAAUCAUGAUUCCCGGAGGUACAAGCUUGAGGUCUUCUUUGAGGACAACAUGAGCUGCUACAAGUGCAGUUUGAUAGGGCCAGCGGAGUCUUGCUGCAGACUCAUGUAUGCACCAAGAAUAUGCACUACAAUUUCUGGGUCUGCAGUUUAUUCAAGGUUCUCAGAUGACCGCUUUCAUGCAUGCAUGGAGGAUGCGAAGUUUACCUGGGUGAGGGCACUAGAUUUUACACCUAACCACUCUUUUGGUAAGUGUUCAACUCUCACCCUCAUACUUGAUGAAGGUGCACCCGUGUCACUUAUUGUCAAUAGCGUACCUUUGUCACGAGAAUUUAGGGAAUUGGCCAUAUCAUUAAUGGAAUCUGUUGGCCCCUUUUCGAAUAAGGUUCCUCUUGCUGACUGCCUGGGUGGCUACUCAGUGCCUUUUGAAGUUAUUUUUCGUCUCAAUUCUCUUGUUCACAUGGUGAAGACAGUUGCCAAACAUGUUAACGCUCAUCUGUUUGAAGCUCUUGAAGAAAUACCAGUUCAUAUUUCAAGGAGGAUUUUCGAGAAAAUGAGCAAGUUAGAGUUUACAUGCUAUGAACAUUUGCACUUCAUCCAGUAGGAGGCUCAUAGCAGGAAAAGGAGCCACCAAAUACUUUGUAGGACUGAAGUUGAACGAAAAUUAAUGAUGUGUUACAGAAUUCACGUUACGCCUUCCAAAAUAUACUACUUGGGACCUGAGAAAGAAGUUUCAAAUUAUGUGGUUAAGCAUCAUGCAAUGUAUGCUUCUAACUUUGCUAGAGUUACUUUUGUUGACGAAGACUGGAGUAAGCUUUUUCUAGAUGCUACCUCUGCUAGAACUGGAUGAGGGUUCUUUUCCCAACCCUUGAAAACUGGCAUGUAUUAUCGCAUUUUAUCAAUCCUGGAAGUGGGAUCUUCCAUUGUUCCAAAGAAGUAUGAAUUCCUGGCCUUCUCAGCAAGUCAACUUCGUGGAAGUUCUGUUUGUAUGCUUGCUUCUAAUGAUUCCCUGAAGGCCGAGGAUAUAAGAAAGUGGAUGGACCAUUUUGAAGAAAUUCGUUCAAUAUCUAAGUGUGCGGCUAGAAUGGGCCAGUUGUUCAGCUCUUCCAGACAAACGAUUGAAAUCCUACCACGGGAUGUGGAAGAGAUUCCAAAUAUUUAAGUCACAACUGAUGGCACUAAACACAUAUUUUCUGAUGGAAUUAGGAAGAUGUCUGAUAGAUUUGCCAAAGAAAUGGCUCACUGAAUUGGAGUAGACAGUACUAACCCUCCUUCAGCUUUUCAAAUAAGGUAUGGUGGCUACAAAGGAGUAGUUGUUGUCGACUCCGAUUCCUUUCGUAAUCUUUCUCUGCGGCCUAGCAUGAAGAAAUUCGAAUCUAAGAGCACAAUGUUUAACAUUGCAACUUGGAGCAAACAACCAUGCUAUAUGAAUUGUGAAAUUAUCUCUCUCCUUUCAACUUUGGGAAUAAGAGAUGAGAUAUUUGAGUAGUUGCAACAAGAUGACAUGCAUGAAUUAGCUGAAAUGCGGACGAACAGCGAAGCUACUCUCUCUGCUCUCUCUAUUCUGGCGAAAAUUGGUAGUGUCGAAACGAAGACAUCAUCUAAAAUGUUACUGCAAGGUUAUGAAUACCCGUUGAUGAUUUUUAAGGCCCGUCAAGAUAAUAGGCUGACCGACAUAAGAAGUAGAUGUAAGAUUCAUGUUCGAAAAGGCCGUGUUCUUAUUGGUUGUCUGGAUGAAAUAGCGAAUUUAAAAUAUAUUCAAGUGUACAUCAAAAUUACAAAAAACUGCAAAGAGCAGAAGGAUAAUGGUCAGGCGUACUUAAUGGGAAAGAGAAAACAACAAUUGUUGUUGAAAAAGUUGCAAAUAAAAAGAAAUCCUUGUCUCCAUCCUGGUGACAUCAGAGUACUUGAAGCUGUAUAUGAGCAUGGAGCUAAGAACCUGGUUGAUUGUGUUGUCUUCCCUCAACGAGGAGAAAGGCCUCAUCCAAAUGAAUGCUCCGGAGGCGAUUUGGACGGGGAUCUCUAUUUUAUCACUUGGGAUGAGAAACUGAUUCCAGAGAAGGUUGAUACACCUAUGGAAUACACUGCAGCAAGGCCACCCAUAAUGGAUCACGUUGUUACACUCGAGUCUAUUCAGAAGUACUUUGUCAAUUACAUGAUAAAUGACUCGCCCGGUGCAAUCUCAACUGCUCACUUGAUCCACGCGUACCGUCAUCCAAUGAAACUUCGGAGCCCUGAGUGCCUCCAGCUAGCUGCUUCACCAAGUCAGGAGCUCCAGCUAAAAUGCUCCGGUCACUGUGACCAAGGGAGUACCCAGAUUUUAUGGAACGGUGGGACAAACCAAUGUAUAUUUCCAAUGGAGCUCUCGGCAAGAUCUACCGAGCAGCUCCGAGUCGUAUGUAGAGAUCUCCUGCUCUCUUGUCCUUGCUCAACCGAACCCCGCAUUCGAUCGGGACGUGGAGGUCCCUGGCUUCGAGGAAUUCCUGGAAUCUGCUACAACCUGUACGCGGAGAAGCUGGCCACUCUGAUCAGCUACUACAGCGUAGAGCACGAGGACGAGAAACAAGAGGUACUUCGAGAUGAAGGACCGCAUCAUCGAUUCUGUCGAGGGCCUGCAUAG